GACGAACCGUGCGAACGUUAUUCGGAAUCACUGGGCUUAAAGCGCGUGUAGGCGGGUGGGAACGUCGGCCGCUGAAAUCCCCCGGCUCAACCGGGGAAGGGGCGCCGAAACGGCCCGCCUGGAGGGACGUAGGGGGAGCUGGAACUUCCGGUGGAGCGGUGAAAUGCGUUGAGAUCGGAAGGAACGCCCGUGGCGAAAGCGAGCUCCUGGACGUUUCUGACGUCUGAGACGCGAAAGCCAGGGGAGCGAACGGG
rnacentral:rRNA from 1 species